CACACACCGCCCGUCACACCAUGGGUUAGUGGGUUGCACCAGAAGUAGCUAGUCUAACCUUCGGGGGGACGGUUACCACGGUGUGAUUCAUGACUGGGGUG
rnacentral:rRNA from 1 species